rnacentral:rRNA from 1 species
UUGGAGGGCAAGUCUGGUGCCAGCAGCCGCGGUAAUUCCAGCUCCAAUAGCGUAUAUUAAAGUUGUUGCAGUUAAAGAGCUCGUAGUUGAAUUUCGGGAUUGACGUAAUGGUCGUGCCUUAAGGGGUAUGAACUGUUACUGUUGAUUUCUCACCUUCUGGAGAAACUUGAUGUCCUUAAUUGGGUGUCUUGCGGAUCCAGGACCUUUACCUUGAAAAAAUUAGAGUGUUUAAAGCAGGCAUUUUUGCUCGAAUACAUUAGCAUGGAAUAAUAGAAUAGGACGGCAUGGUUCUAUUUUGUUGGUUUCUAGGAUCACCGUAAUGAUUAAUAGGGAUAGUUGGGGGCAUUAGUAUUCAAUUGUCAGAGGUGAAAUUCUUGGAUUUAUUGAAGACUAACUACUGCGAAAGCAUUUGCCAAGGAUGUUUUCAUUAAUCAAGAACGAAAGUUAGGGGAUCGAAGACGAUCAGAUACCGUCGUAGUCUUAACCAUAAACUAUGCCGACUAGGAAUCAGACGAUGUUAAUUUUUUAAUGACUCGUUUGGCACCUUACGGGAAACCAAAGUGUUUGGGUUC